GAAAUACUGACAUCGGUUUUCUAUCUUUUAUUGACAUUUGAUCUUCUCCCAACUACCUCAGCUGUACAGCUGAGGUUUUU
rnacentral:ncRNA from 1 species